UCCGAAGUAGCUCAGUGGUAGAGCAACCGGCUGUUAACCGGUUGGUCGCAGGUUCGAAUCCUGCCUUCGGAGCCA
rnacentral:tRNA from 1 species